rnacentral:tRNA from 1 species
GGAGAGGUGCAGGAGUGGUUGAACUGGCUCGCCUGGAACGCGAGUAUGGCAGCGGUGCCAUCUGGGGUUCGAAUCCCCAUCUCUCCGCCA